AACGCGAAGAACCUUACCCGGGUUUGAAAUGUAGAGGACGAUAACAGAGAUGUUAUUUCCCGAAAGGGUCUUUACACAGGUGCUGCAUGGCUGUCGUCAGCUCGUGCCGUGAGGUGUUGGGUUAAGUCCCGCAACGAGCGCAACCCUUAUCGUUAGUUGCCAACAUUUAAGAUGGGAACUCUAACGAGACUGCCUAGGUUAACUAGGAGGAAGGUGAGGAUGACGUCAAGUCCGCAUGGCCUUUAUAUCCGGGGCUACACACGUGCUACAAUGGUCGGUACAGAGGGCAGCGAGACCGUGAGGUGGAGCAAAUCCCACAAAGCCGAUCUCAGUUCGGAUUGUAGUCUGCAACUCGACUACAUGAAGCUGGAAUUGCUAGUAAUGGCGAGUCAGCAAUAUCGCCGUGAAUACGUUCCCGGGCCUUGUA
rnacentral:rRNA from 1 species